rnacentral:lncRNA from 1 species
GGGAGCCGAUGCACGGAAAGCUCCGCAAGGGGAUGAGAAUCCAUCUUCCACCCGGGCUGGGGAGAGACUUUGUAAAAGAUAUUAUGUAAUGGAGUCUCGGGAAGCUCGAGACGCCUCCAGCGAAGCUGCUGGUGAAUUAAUUAAGUGCUUUGAACGGUCUAGGUAAAUAUUCCGCAGGGGGUGGGCAGGACGGUGGAGGGCUGCUGCUGCAGCUCGAGUUGAAUUUUAACUGUCCACAUCCUGUGUGUUUGGUCGCUCUGCUGUGUGUGCGGAGGUGCUAUGUUACGGGAGGGGGGGCGGUGAAUGCAAAGUAGCAGAGCUGAAUUUCUCCCCCUUGGGUAAGGCCAAACACUGGAUUACUACAAGUCUUGACAUGAUUGGACCCGUGUAUCUCAUGCAUCAUUAAUGUCAUCUGACAUUGCCCUGUUCUUUCCCAAGCUCCUGGACAGAAGCGGACAAUGGCGUCGGAUUUCAAAUUUUAUGUAAAGGCCUUAAUUCUAUAUUGAUGUGACUUCUAGCUUCCAUGAAACUUAAAUACAGACCUUAUGAUGUUUGACAUUGGAUAAGAAAAUUCUCCACCUGGAUAAGCUGUUUCUGGAAAGCACUGGUGCAGCCUCUGUCAGAUCUCGUCAACCUACACGGUCUGCUCCGCCAACAGCUAAUAGCGAAAUGACUGCGAGGAAGCCAGUGACAGCGGUAGCUGUCGGCAUUUAUUUUACCUUUGGUUUCUGCUGCACGGAAAAUUCCAGCACUGAUGAGGUCUGAGCUGUGGGGGAGACACGGGGAAGUAAGUGUGCACUGGGUUUGAAGAAGGUGGCACUCUCAAAGCUGCCCUUUCUCCUACAGUAACAUGACACUUGGGCUGAGUAGUCUCCAGCAGUGUUAAUGCCUCCUUUGGACGUUUGUCCAUGAAGAUCGCAGGCUUGACAGGAAGCAUCCAGGGUUGUGUACUGUCACCAAGGCUCGAGGAC